rnacentral:rRNA from 1 species
AUCAGAAUGUCUUACGCGUGUAACGCAUCGUAAUAUAACUUUCAGCAACGGAUCUCUUGGCUCUCGCAUCGAUGAAGAACGCAGCGAAAUGCGAUAAGUAAUGUGAAUUGCAGAAUUCAGUGAAUCAUCGAAUCUUUGAACGCACCUUGGGCUCCUUGGCAUUCCGAGGAGCAUGCCUGUUUGAGUGUCAUGAAACUCUCAACCCCUGCCAUCUUUGCGGAUGAGCGGUCGGUUGGAUUUUGGAGGCUGCCGGACGCGUUCGGCUCCUCUUGAAUGCAUAGUGAAGCUUGGACCUGACCGACCGAGUGGACGUGAUAGAAAGUCACCGUCGACUGAAGGGUCCGUCGUUGAACGGUUCAAGCUUUGUUUCAUCGUCUUCGGACGAACAUCUCUGACCUCUGACCUCAAAUCAGGUAGGACUACCCGCUGAACUUAAGCAUAUCAAUAAGCGGAGGAAAAGAAACUAACGAGGAUUCCCCUAGUAACUGCGAGUGAAGCGGGAAAAGCUCAAAUUUAAAAUCUGGCGGUCUUUGGCCGUCCGAGUUGUAGUCUGGAGAAGCGUCUUCUACGCUGGACCGUGUACAAGUCUCCU